UACGGGGGGGGCAAGCGUUGUUCGGAAUUACUGGGCGUAAAGGGCUCGUAGGCGGCCAACUAAGUCAGACGUGAAAUCCCUCGGCUUAACCGGGGAACUGCGUCUGAUACUGGAUGGCUUGAGGUUGGGAGAGGGAUGCGGAAUUCCAGGUGUAGCGGUGAAAUGCGUAGAUAUCAGGAGGAAUACCGAUGGCGAAGGCAGGUCUCUGGGCUAUAACUGACGCUCAUGCACGAAAGCGUGGGGAGCAAACAGG
rnacentral:rRNA from 1 species